GCACGCAGCAGCCCGCAUGGGAGGUGACGCACUCGGAACAGAAGGACAUGAAAAGAAUAGCUCCUUCCUGACUUACUCUCUCUUGGAUCAAUUACUGUGAUGGAAACCAGCUGCCAUGUCAGGAGUACACUCAGCUGGCCUAAUGGGAGGCCCACACAGAGAGGCACUGAGGUCGCCAAUCAAUAACCAACACCAAUACAGCGCAGACCAUAAGCCAGUGUCCCAACUAGGGACUUGAAGAUGAGUCUACAGAGAUGACCAGAGCGGUGCUGGGUGAACUUCAUUUUCCUUUCCUAGUCAAGAAGGCUUAAGUAAUAGUAUGAGGAAAUACCUGAAGACCCAAACCCUGGUAGAAAAGACACUGCUGUCAUGGCAACAUUCUAAUUUAGCUUUAGCACAUUGAAUAUGUCAUACUACUCUCUCCUGGACUGCAGAGUUUUUGCUGACAAAUCUGCUGACAGCCAUGUUGGAACUCUCUUGAUUGUGGUGAAGCCUAAGAAACACUGUCUAAGCUAAAGGGCCAAGGUCAACAUCAACAGCGAAAGAGGAGACUUUGGGACUUGGAAGUGACUCCUAAAAUAGAGUAUUUUUAAAACUAUGGAACAUAACCUCAAUAACAUUAUUGAGAAUGGCUACUUGGCAAAUAAGGGAACUUUUGCAUCAGAGAUUAUUUAUGAUACAUCACAAUAGCAAUCUUAAAAAUGGAAGCAGAUUCUGAGAGACCUAAAGCACAAAUAAAUGAUAAAGGAUUGCAAGUGUAAAUAUUAGGUUUCUCUAGGAUGAAGAAAUCUCCUUAAAAAAAGGCCUACGUUUCAAAGCCUAGCUGUGCAGGAUGAAUGAAAAUCCAUUUGCCCAAUAAACUAGAAAAUCUAGAAGAAAUGGAUAAAUUCCUUGACACAUACACCCUCCCAAGACUAAACCAGGAAGAAGUUGAAUCUCUGAAUAGACCAAUAACAGGCUCUGAAAUUGUGGCAAUAAUCAAUAGCUUACCAACCAAAAAAAGCCCAGGACCAGAUGGAUUCAUAGCCGAAUUCUACCAGAG
rnacentral:lncRNA from 10 species